GUGGGGAAUCUUGCGCAAUGGGCGAAAGCCUGACGCAGCCAUGCCGCGUGAAUGAUGAAGGUCUUAGGAUUGUAAAAUUCUUUCACCGGGGACGAUAAUGACGGUACCCGGAGAAGAAGCCCCGGCUAACUUCGUGCCAGCAGCCGCGGUAAUACGAAGGGGGCUAGCGUUGCUCGGAAUUACUGGGCGUAAAGGGCGCGUAGGCGGACAGUUUAGUCAGAGGUGAAAGCCCAGGGCUCAACCUGGGAAUUGCCUUUGAUACUGGCUGUCUUGAGUACGGGAGAGGUGAGUGGAACUCCGAGUGUAGAGGUGAAAUUCGUAGAUAUUCGGAAGAACACCAGUGGCGAAGGCGACUCACUGGCCCGUUACUGACGCUGAGGCGCGAAAGCGUGGGGAGCAAACAGGAUUAGAUACCCUUGUAGUCC
rnacentral:rRNA from 1 species